rnacentral:lncRNA from 1 species
AACCGGAAAGUGCAUCUCCAAGCUGCUUACAGUUCGUAUCAUGAAAGCACGAGAAGUGCUUCAGCACAAUUGCCCUUAUUCAGGAGGUGAUUAGCCAGUCGAGAGCUAGUUUAAUCCCAGUGUCAGAGUGAGGAAGAAGUGUAUUGAAGUUCUGAUAGACAAACAGUACAUCGAAUGCAGUCAAGUGUCGGUGGAUGAAUACAGCUACAUC